rnacentral:lncRNA from 1 species
GUAAGAUGGACGGCCUUGGAGUGAGGCUGGGAGAGCCUCGAGGAAGGAAGGGAGGGCUUCCAGUGCUGGCAGGGGGUGGCUGCUGGGUUUGUCGCCUCCUCUAUUACAGCUGGACACACUGACAAUGCUGGAAUGCAGCCAUGGCACACACCUGGACUCUCUCCACCUGACAACUCAGCUCGACAAGGAGUCAAUGCUCUCCAGGACAGGUAAGAUGACCCCAACCCAAACCCACCACAGUCUCACAGCAAGCAGCCAGGUGACACGCUCGGGCCAGGACGGCAGUGACAGUUCCAUCAGGACAACAGGACACAGACAGACGUGAAACACACAGAAAUGGGACCAGCCCACACCACACUCCUGUCUACUCGCCCCUUGAGAAGUCAGCUCGAAGGAAGAACUUCCAACGCUCUCCAGGACAGAUAAGAUCGUCCCAACCCACACCAACCACAGUCUCACAGCAAGCAGCUAGGUGACACAAUCGAGCCAGGACAGGAGUGACUGCUCCAUCAGGACAACGGGACACAGAGAGCCUCGGUGAGAUGUUAGAGACUCUUGGGCAGAAAGGCAGGGUCUGCUGCUCCUUUAGGUGCUUCUUCUCUUUCAGCCAGAAACACACAGCGAUGGGACCAGAAACACAGCACAGUCCUGGCCUCAUUGCCGUCGACCACUCAGCUGGAAGGAAGAGCUGCCAAGGCUCUCCAGGACAGGGGGAUGCUGCUCUGUUUGUUCCUUCUCUUAUGAAAGCCAGACACACACAGCGAUGGGACCAGACCACAGCACACUCCUGGCAACUCUCCCUUUGAGAACUCAGCUGGAAAAGAUGCCAACACUCUACAGGACAGAUAAGCUAUGCCCAACCCAUUCCCCACC